ACAUUAGAGAGUUUGAGCAAGAGAACGAAGUCGGACGACGACGAUGUGGUUGACAAUUUUUGCCUGUCUUGCACAUUGUGUUGCGCAUUCUGAGUUUAGGGUCAGGAGUGAAGACAGAUUAGAGAUUCAUGUCUAGCUGUUUGUGAAUGCUGACUCAAAUCCUUACCCUGAUCAGGAUAAAACAGCGAGACAUGAAUCCAUAUCCCGUCUUCGUUCUUCUGCCUUCG